rnacentral:misc_RNA from 1 species
CUAAGGAGCACUUCUCCAGGUGGUAUCUCGAACAGUCGAGAUCGCCUCUGGCAGAGACAGUUUCGGGCUCACAUGUAGUCCGGCUGGAGCUCAUGGGUGGAACGCUGACAACCUCUCCCGCGUAUCGGCCGGUACUCAGUGACCGGCCGGCGGUUGAUAUAUCGACACACUGUUGGGUCCUGAAAGAACAGACGUUCUUUCCAGGCAAAAAAUACGAUCCGCCCGGAUCUCUUGUGAAACCAGCCUCGUGGAGGUCGCGGUCCUUGAAUUCGAUUCGGUGCGGGUGUGUUGUUUGAGAACUGCACAGUGACGCGAGCAUCUUUGUUAGUAAGUGUGUAAGAGCGUAC